CGGGGUGUGGCGCAGCUUGGUAGCGCGCCUCGUUCGGGACGAGGAGGUCGUCGGUUCAAAUCCGGCCACCCCGA
rnacentral:tRNA from 1 species